GCAUAUCUGUAUACCCCUGGUAGUUGCUGGAAGCCUCCUUGUCUAUACCUGCAGUUGGCCUUCAGUGAGCCCUGUCUUAGUACCUUGAAGACCUUAAGCUCCACAGAAUGGAGGGGACUGGACUGUAUACACCACUAUAUUUUGAAGCCUAUUGUCUCUUCAGGCUUCUUGAGUUUGGACCACCCCUCUCCGCUAACGACCUGAAAAAUGUGGGGCAGAGUGUUUGGUUUAGCUGUUAACACAGAGUUAACUUCCCUAGUGUCCCAUCUGUUGGGGAAUGCUUAUGACUACUGCUGGAGGAUGUCUUCAUUUCCUUCUCAUCUAAAUUUCUAUCUGUGCCAUGCCCAGAGGUAGAUUGUUUUAGAAAGGUGCCUGUUUUCAGAAAAGGGACCGUUGCUUUCCUCUCUCGCUUCUUUAUUUCCAGACAUGGAUUGAUUAGACCCCAGGAGCAGAGGGGGAGCUAGCAUCAGAUAAAAAGGGCUCUGUUCUUAUCAGAUGAGGUUUUUAAAGUGAAAGUAAACAUCAAGAGAGACUCAGAGAGGGUGAUAAAUGAGAAUGAAUGAAGACUGGACACUCAGUUCUCUAGAUCAAUGACAUAUACUUAUGAACAUUCUAUUUUGAGAGAUGGUUGGGUUGCUGCAUGUCCUGGGUAUACAUGCAUCAGGAAACAAUCUCUCCCUAGAACCAGCUAUUUCUUCUCAUUUCGUACUUCUGGAAGCUUCGAGGAGGCCAGAAGGUGGAAAGGGGAACCCAGAAGAACAUGGGUUUGAGUCUCAGCUCAACCAUCAGCUGAUUUGGGAAAAACUACCUCCACUCCUUCCGGGACCUUAUUUUUCCUUCUGUAAAAUGGGAUGGCAGAGGGGAGAAUAGACUGGUCACAUGAACUCUUGCUUCCAGACCUGACCCCUAAGUAGACUGCCAGGCUGCCAAGGGACUCCAUAGCAGUUGGGCUUUUCUCAGCUCUGUUUUUCACAUGUCUCCGUUCCAGGAAGUCAGGGACAGUGUUGUGUUGUCAUUGAUGCUGGCGUUCACUGUUGUCUCCGUAGCUCUUAGUCAAGGGGAGAUGUUCAUAUAGUUGAUUCCGUUAUUUAUUCCUUUCUCCUGUACUGAACUUUAGAGAUGAGAUUGAACAGUGACAGAUCCUCAUCUCAGGGACCAAUGGAGAAUAAAGGUGUUGGUGAGAAUAGGAAAUGACUUGCAGCCUGCUCUUUCAGAUCUAAUAAUGAUAUAGGAAAUUAUUAUUAUAAUUAUCAUAGUGGACAUUGGUGGGUUACCAUUCAAGUGCAAUAGACUUUUCUCAUACAUGGCAAGAGUUGGGAGUGAAUAGCUUGUCAGGGUUACAUCCUGAAGAAAGGUUUCAAACUAUGUCGGGUCCUCCUAAUGAUGGUUGGUUCCUGAUCUGCAGGAUCUCAGUUGUCCCUUCCAGUGAAAGGGGCUUUUGUUAAAAGGAAUUGGGCAGUCUAGGGAAGUGACAACAUGGCCCUGGAGUGGGGCUGCCCCUAGCCCACAUGAAGACUGGGGGUUGAAUUUCACCCCCAUGCCCCUUCCCUCUGCCUGGUGCCCUUUUGCACCAUGGUACGUGGCAGACCUCCUAAGAGUCCAACCGGGGUUCAAGUCCCAGCCACGCCAUCAGCCCUGACCUUAGGGGAAAAUUACUGGUUAUCACUGGGUCUCAGUUUUCCUAGUAAAAUGAAGAGACUGGCAUUUAGGGGCCGCUUCUCUCUCCCUCACUCCCACGUGUCCACCGUUUUGUUUAUGUAUCUGCCGAAGCACCUACAAUAGGGUCUGAGAUUUAAUUGGAGCCCAGAUACUUGAAUGAGUGGCUCCGGUAAAGAUCUGUAAACAGUUAAGCCAGCUGGUGGCAGAGGCUGGAUCUUCUUCCUAAGGGUCCCUGGAAUUCCAAGAGUCACAGAGUAGGGACCACUGCAAGGUUUGGGGGCUUAGACCCAGGAAGCCUUAUAGAAAUUAUAGGAAUUUUCCAAGUGCAAGUUUAACUUGAAGGGAACAGGGAGGUGGCAGCCAUGAGUAAAAUCUUUCGUGCCUGGAGAGCAGGCAUCUGGAGGAUGUCCGAGUCACCCUGGAGUCCCUGAGACUUGGCAGCAAGUGCUCCAGCUCUUGCCUUCCAUGACUGCUGUGUCAGGCCUCUAGGAUACUGAUGGUUGUGAUAGGUGACUGUGUCUGAAUAAGUCAUUCUGGCAAAUGAUCUUUGCUCCCCAUUAACGGGCUAGUUCGUUAGUCAUGUGUGGUUUCUCUGUAUAUCUGAUUUAUCACCACUCGUACGAGGGACAGGUAGGAAAAUUAAAAGGCUUUGUGUUCUUUGUAGCAUGUGAAUCUGAGUCUGUGAGAUGUGCGGAUAAUUAAUAUUAGCAACAUCUCAGAUUUAAAUAGCUUUCCUUUGGAGAGCUCCGCUGGAGUUGAAAAUCCACUGAAGAUUUUUUUCUCCCCUUUUCCUUUCGUUUCUCCCUUGUCCUGUUCCUUGGUAUCUUUAAUAUAGACAGGAAGACUGGCCUAUAAUAAUCAGACAGGUCCCUUGGGAGACCCUUAUAUCAUAACCCCAGCCACGUACCUCAUCCUUCUUCCUUAGAUCUGAACACUGCAAAUAGAGCAAAGCUUAGAACUUGUCCCCACCAGGCAUAUGACUUAAGACCCGCAGGUUCGGUGGCUCUCUACUUUUUUUUUUUUUUUCCCCUUUUUUGGCUACCUCACAUCCUUUACUCUGUCUUUAGUGUUAGGUUUAGAAACAAGUAAGUACAAUGACUUUUAAAAGUCAGCUGCUUAUUUCAUACUGUAGUUAGCAGGGGGGUGAGACUAUAGAAUCCCCUGCAGUUUUCAGAGUGAUUUACAUCCGAGCUCAAGAAAUGCCUUUUCUCUAGCUUUCCCCAAAGACUGAUCCAUUACUCC
rnacentral:lncRNA from 1 species